rnacentral:rRNA from 1 species
GACGAACGCUGGCGGCGUGCCUAAUACAUGCAAGUUGAGCGGUGAGGGCUGGUACUUGUACCAACUGGAUGAGCAGCGAACGGGUGAGUAACGCGUGGGGAAUCUGCCUUUGAGCGGGGGACAACAUUUGGAAACGAAUGCUAAUACCGCAUAAAAACUUUAAACACAAGUUGUAAGUUUGAAAGAUGCCAUUGCAGCACUCAAAGAUGAUCCCGCGUUGUAUUAGCUAGUUGGUGAGGUAAAAGCUCACCAAGGCGAUGAUACAUAGCCGACCUGAGAGGGUGAGCGGCCACAUUGGGAGUGAGACACGGCCCAAAGGCCUACGGGAGGCAGCAGUAGGGAAUCUUCGGCAAGGGACGAGAGUCUGACCGAGAAACGCCGAGUGAGGGAAGAAGGUUGUCGGAUCGGAAAACUCGGUUGGUAGAGAAGAACGUUGGUGAGAGUGGAAAGCUCAUCAAGUGACGGUAACUACCCAGAAAGGGACGGCUAACUACGUG